rnacentral:lncRNA from 1 species
GUUAGGUAGUUCCUCCUCUCUACCCUAGGGUUAGGUAGCUCCUCCUCUCUACCCUAGGGUUAGGUAGCUCCUCCUCUCUACCCUAGGGUUAGGUAGCUGUAGCUCCUCCUUUCUACCCUAGGGUUAGGUAGCUCCUCCUCUCUACCCUAGGGUUAGUUAGCUCCUCCUCUCUACCCUAGGGUUAGGUAGCUGUCUAGCUCCUCCUCUCUACCCUAGGGUUAGUUAGCUGUCUAGCUUCUCCUCUCUACCCUAGGGUUAUUUAGCUGUCUAGCUCCUCCUCUCUACCCUAGGGUUAUUUAGCUGUCUAGCUCCUCCUCUCUACCCUAGGGUUAGUUAGCUGUCUAGCUCCUCCUCUCUACCCUAGGGUUAGGUAGCUGUCUAGCUCCUCCUCUCUACCCUAGGGUUAGGUAGCUGUCUAGCUCCUCCUCUCUACCCUAGGGUUAGUUAGCUGUCUAGCUCCUCCUCUCUACCCUAGGGUUAGGUAGCUGUCUAGCUCCUCCUCUCUACCCUAGGGUUAGUUAGCUGUCUAGCUCCUCCUCUCUACCCUAGGGUUAGGUAGCUGUCUAGCUCCUCCUCUCUACCCUAGGGUUAGUUAGCUGUCUAGCUCCUCCUCUCUACCCUAGGGUUAGGUAGCUGUCUAGCUCCUCCUCUCUACCCUAGGGUAAGGAUUAGGUACAGUAGCUGUCUAGCUUGACUGUUGUUGGCUCCAUAGCUGGCUGUUCAGAUGUGUUCAGUUUCAGGAGAGACUCCCCUUACAGUUAGUGAAGUGCAGUCAAUGAAAACCUGUGUGAGUGAAUAGAAAUGUUAAGAGCUCUUUGUCUGAGUGAAUGUCAUUGCUGGAGCAAGUUAUUGGGAUGAAUAUUCAUGUCCAUAUUCUGUAGUUCAGAAUAUGGGCAUGAAUGAGACAAGGUGGCAGCUUACAUGCAUGUCUUGGGUAAUGUCGUAGGUGGAGCACCUCUUGUAGGGGUCAGUGUGUCAUCGGCGGAGCCCCUACCUGUUGGACUGAAUGAUAUGACUGGUCCCCUGUUGGAAAGAGCUUGAUGGGUAAAUCCUCACGUGGCUGUAGUGGCUGUGUCUGGAGGAAACAUGUCUGUAUGACUGUGUGUGAUUGGUUGUCUGUUUUUACCUCACCAAUGGGAGGGCUCCAUGCUCACUGAAGGCCCUUCGAUAAGGACCUGUAAACACAUUAUAUUUCUCUAUAGCUUCUUUAUCAUCUUAAGUCUUAUAACGGCAUAUUAUAUACAGACUGGUCACUGUAUUACAAAUCUGUAGCAAAAACAAGUGCCCAGACCAACAGCAUAGAAAUAAACACACAGACAUGUACACCCUCUCACUCAAUAACACAGAUCAC